UACAGGGGGGGCAAGCGUUGUUCGGAAUUACUGGGCGUAAAGGGUCUGUAGGUGGCCAACUAAGUCAGACGUGAAAUCCCUCAGCUUAACUGGGGAACUGCGUCUGAUACUGGAUGGCUCGAGUGUGGGAGAGGAAUGCGGAAUUCCAGGUGUAGCGGUGAAAUGCGUAGAUAUCUGGAGGAACACCGGUGGCGAAGGCGGCAUUCUGGACCAUAACUGACACUGAGAGACGAAAGC
rnacentral:rRNA from 1 species